UAGGGAAUAUUGGACAAUGGGUGAGAGCCUGAUCCAGCCAUGCCGCGUGCAGGAAGAAGGCCUUCUGGGUUGUAAACUGCUUUUGCCAGGGGAUAAAAUUCUCUUGCGAGGGAAAUUGAAGGUACCUGGUGAAUAAGCCACGGCUAACUACGUGCCAGCAGCCGCGGUAAUACGUAGGUGGCAAGCGUUGUCCGGAUUUAUUGGGUUUAAAGGGUGCGUAGGCGGUCCUAUAAGUCAGUUGUGAAAUACGGCAGCUUAACUGUCGAGGUGCAAUUGAUACUGCAGGACUUGAGUACAGACGAGGUAGGCGGAAUUGACGGUGUAGCGGUGAAAUGCUUAGAUAUCGUCAAGAACACCGAUAGCGAAGGCAGCUUACUAGACUGUAACUGACGCUGAGGCACGAAAGUGUGGGGAUCAAACAG
rnacentral:rRNA from 1 species